rnacentral:rRNA from 1 species
CGCGUAGGCGGCCGAUCAAGUCGGAGGUGAAAUCCCUCGGCUCAACUGAGGAAUGGCCUUCGAUACUGUUCGGCUUGAGUCCUGGAGAGGGUAGCGGAAUUCCCGGUGUAGCGGUGAAAUGCGUAGAGACCGGGAAGAACACCAGUGGCGAAGGCGGCUACCUGGACAGGUACUGACGCUGAAGCGCGAAAGCUAGGGAGCAAACA